GACGAACGCUGGCGGCGUGCCUAAUACAUGCAAGUCGAACGAACCGCGACUAGGUGCUUGCACUUGGUCAAGGUGAGUGGCGAACGGGUGAGUAACACGUGGGUAACCUACCUCAUAGUGGGGGAUAACAGUCGGAAACGACUGCUAAUACCGCAUAGGACAUAGGAUCACAUGAUCCAGUGAGGAAAGGUGGCGCAAGCUAUCGCUAAGAGAUGGACCCGCGGUGCAUUAGCUAGUUGGUAGGGUAAAGGCCUACCAAGGCGAUGAUGCAUAGCCGACCUGAGAGGGUGAUCGGCCACAUUGGGACUGAGACACGGCCCAAACUCCUACGGGAGGCAGCAGUGGGGAAUCUUCCGCAAAGGACGCAAGUCUGACGGAGCAACGCCGCGUGAGUGAAGAAGGUCUUCGGAUCGUAAAGCUCUGUUGUUAGAGAAGAACAGCGCAUAGAGUAACUGUUAUGCGUGUGACGGUAGCUAACCAGAAAGCCACGGCUAACUACGUG
rnacentral:rRNA from 1 species